GUUCUGUAGCACUGCAACUGAGUGGUCCAGUUACCACUCAUCCCAGUAUGGUUUGAACUGCAUAUGGUCCAUUCUUUUGACUGUUUAUUAUAUUCCAUGGCUCCAUUGCCCGAGGAACAUCAGUCCCAAUAAAAAGUUCAACGUCUGCCUCAAUUUCUUUUAAGUCAAGAUAUGGCCACCUCUUCAAGUCAGCCUUUGUGAUGAUGUUUUCCUUUGAGACAGGUAUCUUGCUCUGUGUAUACACUUUCGGCAGGUCCAGAUAUGUAAACCCUUCCAAGUCUCCAACCUCCAGUCCUCGGGCCUCAUAGGUCUUCGCAGGCUUUUCCUCUCCCAUUGUUCACAAAAUAAUUUCUGUUUUGCGUCCUCUCACAUUCAGUUGAUCGAUGAGAUUCUCCGUGCAAAAUGUUGCCGUGCUGCCUGGAUCGAGGAAGGCAUAGUUCUGAACAUAGCUGUUCCCUUUUCCCGCCUUAACUCUGACUGGCACGAUUGCAAGUGCGCAGUCUUUCCCGGCCCCGGUUGCAUCACCGGCUGAAACAAGAGCAAUGCUUAUAGGGGUUUCUUCUGUCUCAGCAGUGGACUUUGCUUGAUUUUCCUGCCUUGGGCCUUUUUCUCUUGAAAUAUGAAGUACAGUAGGAUGUUUAAUUUUGCAAACAUGACACAUUAAUCUUCUUUUACAAUUCUUGCUUAAAUGACCUUUUAGUAGGCAACCAAAAAAAUAUCCUUGCCUUCUUAAAAAUUCAACCUUGUUGUCAUGGGACUGUGUUUUGAAUUGUGAGCAGUCAAUCAGAGCAUGUUUGCCAUGACAAUAUCCACAUAAAGGGAUGAUACCACUGGGUGUGGUUUGAGCAGGUUGUUGUGGAACAGAUGAUUGUUUUACAGUGCAUGCUGCUGGCUCUGUAUUCACAGCUACUGAAAUAGCAAAGCUGCUUCUUCUUUGGCUGAUUGGUUUUAGUCCACUUGUGCUGCUUGGGAGAGGCCUUUUCGUUGUUAUUUGGUCCUGAAUGUCUCCAAACAACGGAUCCAAAAGCAUCUUGGCAUGGUUUUCCACAAAAUCCACAAAGUUGUUAAAUCUGAUUCUCCUGCCGGUUCUCUGUUGUGUCUCAUAAGCUGUGCUUCGCCACUUCUCUGAGUUUGUAGGGUAGUUUGGAUGUAAUUAGCCUUAGGUUUGAUGGGACACCGAAAAGGCGCGUCAAGAUGCCGAAAAGGCGCGUCAACAUGCCGAAAAGGUGCGUCAACAUGCCGAAAAGGCGCGUCAAGAGGAAAUUAAAAAAUUCAAAGAGGACGGACGCCUCGCCCAAGAGCAGGUUUAUAAAUUAAAAGAUGAGCUUUUCAAAACCAAAUGUAAGGAAGGUAGAUUCUACCAUCUAACAUUAUAAUAUUGUUUUUUUAAUUGAAGCCAUCUCUUGCGGUGAAGUUCAUGGAGAAAAACCGAGAUCUUCAACUUGAGGUCAGAGAGCUCAAGAACAAAGCGCCAACAGCCGCCUGUGAGGACGAGCAAGACGAUUGUGGUGAAGGAACCAGCCAGAGCCCCAGUGAUGAGAUGCCGGCGGCCAAAAAGACCAAAAGAAGACGUCCAAAUAAGGCAUAAGUCUCACUCUGACAUGAUGAUCUGAGGAUGUUAUCAGCUGCCAAGUCUUGCUUUUUGGACUGGGCGAGAACGGGACCAGAAAGAUCCUCCAAGGACACUUGAUGCAGGACUGCAUGUUUGUUCUUUUGUAUUGAUUUUGAAAAGGCGCGCGAAGAGCUGAUUGAAAAUCUAAAAGCGGACGGAGUCCUCGCCCAUCAAGAUGCUGAAAAGGCGCGUCAAGAUACCGAAAAGGCGCAUCAAGAUGCCGAAAAGGCGCGUCAAGAGGAAAUUAAAAAAUUCAAAGAGGACGGACGCCUCGCCCAAGAGCAGGUUUAUAAAUUAAGAAUUGAGCUUUUCAAAGCCAAAUUGAAGUUCAUGGAGAAAAACCGAGAUCUUCAACUUGAGGUCAGAGAGCUCAAGAAAAGAGCGCCAACAGCCGCCUGUGAGGACGAGCAAGACGAUUGUGGUGAAGGAACCAGCCAGAGCUCUGGUGAUGAGAUGCCGGCGGCCAAAAGAAGACGUCCAAAU